GCAGUCUGUAUACCUGUUGCAGCACCACUCGGUGGUGACUAAGCGAACAGGUUUACUUUAAUGAUCGGGGAAGAAUAUUCGGAUGGUAUGUCCCGUGCUCUGCUGUCUUCCUUUUGGCAUCCACCCACCAUUCGGACCAGACGUGUCAUCGACUUUUGUUUUGACAUCUCGAUCGCCGUGUUGAUGUUCUUCGGUGUUCCUCCUAAUUUCGUUUUCAACCAAUUCCAUGCUGAGGGAACUGUCAACGUGGAAUAUAUUCCAAUGGAACCUGUCAAAGUGGACCAACGAAUGUAGGCCAUCUACGUAUUGGUUUGUAAUCACUUCCCAGUUGGCAGUUCUUGUUGAUUCCGCGUACCAUGUGAUUCUGGUUUUCUGAAUAUUUCUCAUCACCACUUCAAAACCUUAUUGUAUUCAUAGUUAAUUUGGAUUUCCAUGCGAUUAUUUGACUCUUGUAGUUGAGUGAAAAAAUGUGCAAAGACCACUUGUGUAUACUUCAUCUGACGUUGUGUUCUUCUAAAUAUUCUUUGUGUGUUUUAAGUCCCUGGUGUAACCAUGCACGACCCUAACGCGAACUCAUCCCUCGAAACAAGUUUGGAAGAAGACUUGUAUAUGCCGGAUUUUGAAUUUUCAGACCAUGUUGGAAAAGGGAAGAAUUCGUCAUUUUGGAAUGGAAUAUAUUUUGGCGCAGAUCAUGAAAAUGCAAAGUACCAAAGAUUUAGCAGAAUUGCUGCUGCACAAGAGAUGGAAGACUUUGAUUCAUUCUAUGACACUUCUGAGGAAGCAGCAUUCUCUAUGUCUCCUGACAGUGGAGUCCAUGACAUGUCUCAACUGACUCCUGAGGCCAAGGCUAAACUUCAAGAUGAAUGGACUCGAGAACUUGCUAAAACAGAGGAUGAAAUAAAUACUCUGAGACAAGUACUUUCAUCGAAAAUCAGACAUAUGCAAGAGCUCAAAAGAAAGCUUGGCAUCACAGUUUGGAAGGAAUUCAAAGAAGACAUGGAGCAAGGCAUUCGCAACAUUCAGGAGUCAACUGCCUAUCAGAAGACGAGUCAGACUUUGAAAACUGCAUCUGAGAAAACUACUGAGGCUUUGGGUACUAUUGGCGCAACUGUUAGCAAAAAGUUUGAAGAAGUCAAGCAAUCUCAAGCUUUCAAGUCGCUGGAAGAGAAAGUUGGCUCAGCCUACACCAAUGUCAAGGUAAAUACCCCUGGAGCACCUAACUAAUAACCUCCAAUGUGAAUACCUAAGCUAUUUGUGUGGGUGAUGGUAAAACCUCCUCUUUUGUGAAACUCCAACCGAGCAUCAAUAGGCUUUAUUUUAUAAUUAUAAAAAGAAAAUGUUAAAUUUAUAUAAAAUUUGAUACAAAAAAUGUUUGUUUACAUUUGAUAUAGAUUUAUUAAAAAUGUGAUAAAAUAUUAUAUAUUGUAUCUUUGAAUAUCGCCAACUGCAAGGUUAACUAUUUUUAAUAUAUAAAUAUAUAACAUUUUGUAGCAUUCGCAAUUAGUAAAAAAAUUCUAUAAUGUGCCUUAAUUUAUAAAUUUUGCAGAUCUCCUAAAAUGUUCAAUUAUUUUAUAUUCUUUCUAAUUAAAGCUUAAUAUAAAUUUUAUUAAAACGUUUUAUAUUCCUUAAGGUAUCUAUUGGUUUAACCAUUUAAAUGUAAAAGCAGAAGUAUAAAUCAUAUAUUCUUAAAAGAAAUUUUGAGUUGACAUUUAUUAAACCAUUGGUAUAAAUUUUUUUGUUUGUAAUAUGUUCAAAUUCAGUGUUGCUGUGAAAAUGUUAAUUUUAAAUAUAUUAACUAUAAAAGGUUUUUAAAGAUUCUCAUUUUCUUGCCAUUAAACUAUGUUCUUGUUAAAGUUUUAUGAAGUUGGUAGAACCAAUAUUCUUAUUGUAUCAUAAUUUGGUGGAAUAAAAUUCUUUUAAUAAAUACAGAAAUAACUUUUCUAUUAUUGAAAUAUAAAAUUCUUGCUUCCGUUGAGAAUUUUGUUGUGUAAGUGAAAUUAUUUUCAUACAUGAGAUUUUU